rnacentral:misc_RNA from 1 species
AUAUAUCAACCUCUUAAGCUUUUGCUUGUUGAGUGUUGGAUGUGGGGGUCUUUUGCUGGUCUUUUCAAGAGGUCAGCUCCCCUAAAAUAUAUUAGCGGAACAAUUUGUUGACCGUUCAUUGGUGUGAUAAUUAUCUACGCUAUUGACGUGAGGCAGUUCAGCUUCUAACAGUCCAUUGACUUGGACAAUUUUCAUUA